rnacentral:rRNA from 1 species
UCAGGCGCGCAAAUUACCCACUCCCAGAACGGGGAGGUAGUGACGAAAAAUAACAAUACGGGACUCUUUUGAGACCCCGUAAUUGGAAUGAGUACACUCUAAAUCCUUUAACGAGGAUCCAUUGGAGGGUAAGUCUGGUGCCAGCAACCGCGGUAAUUCCAGCUCCAAUAGCGUAUAUUAAAGUUGUUGCGGUUAAAAAGCUCGUAGUUGGAUCUCAGUUCCAGACGGGUGGUCCGCCUACCGGUGGUUACUGCCUGUUCUGAACAGUCAGCCGGUUUCUCUUGAUGAUCUUCACCGGUUGUCUUGGGUGACCGGCAAGUUUACUUUGAAAAAAUUAGAGUGCUCAAAGCAGGCGCGACGCCUGAAUAAUGGUGCAUGGAAUAAUGGAAUAGGACCUCGGUUCUAUUUUGUUGGUUUUCGGAACACGAGGUAAUGAUUAAGAGGGACAGACGGGGGCAUUCGUAUUGCGACGCUAGAGGUGAAAUUCUUGGACCGUCGCAAGACGAACUACUGCGAAAGCAUUUGCCAAGAAUGUUUCCAUUAAUCAAGAACGAAAGUUAGAGGUUCGAAGGCGAUCAGAUACCGCCCUAGUUCUAACCAUAAACGAUGCCAGCCAGCGAUCCGGACUGUGUUCCUCAAAUGACACGCCGGGCAGCUUCCGGGUAACCAAAGUUUUGGGUUCCGGGGAAUAUGUGC